CAGCACAGGGCACUUCCAGACGCACUGCAGAGGUGUGAGGAGGUUAUGUCCAAAAUGUUAAAUUCCAACAUUUUGUGAGGUUACCGGUGCAGCUGGGCUUGUGUCUAAACAUUGCAAGGUUUCAAAAAUCACGAGAUUGUACUGCCACUGACAGCGGUGUUUGUUUGCUUUGUCGUUUCAAAAAGUAGCUUGAUGAGUGUCCAAAGUAACAUUGGAAGUUUGGAGGGGACGCCAUCUUGGUCCUAGCUCUCCACGUCCCCGACAACACCGGGGUUGCUUUCUCAGCAACAUAUCACGGCAGUGGUGAAGGCCAAGGCAGGCACCAUGGAGGAGCUGCACAGCCUGGACCCCCGGAGACAAGAGCUGCUGGAGGCUCGAUUCAUGGGUGGGGUCAGUGGCAGCACUGGGGGCAGCACUGGCAGCACCAGCGGGGGAACCAAAGCCUUGACAAACAAUGAAUGUUCAAAUCAAAGUUUUGGAAGCCUGGGGUCCUCCAGUGACAAGGAGUCAGAGAGCUCAGAUGUGAAAAGGGGGAGCUCUCCUGCAUACUCGACUCCUGAAAAGAAACACUCUGAAUCGUCCAGAGGAAGAAAGAGGAAACCCGACACCCAGUCGGAGAACAGCCAAGGGAAGUCUAUUGUGCGAGGACCCAAAAUUAGUGAUUAUUUUGAUUUCCAUGGAGGGAACGGGUCCAGUCCUGUGAGAGGUCUCCCCUCUGUGAUCCGCUCACCUCAGAACUCACAUUCCCACUCUGUGCAGGGUUCCAGUAUUAGGCAAAACAGCUCAUCGCCUACGAGUCUGUCUUUUGGGGAACAUGUGAUGCAUCCAAAGCAGUUGGCAAUCAAAUGUGUGCAGACUGACCUGACGGGGCUCAAGUUGGCUGCCCUGGAGAUGAACAAGAACCUGGACCUUGAGAAAAAAGAAGGCAGAAUUGAUGAUUUGCUUAGAGCGAACUGCGAUCUCAGGAGACAGAUAGACGAACAACAGAAAUUACUUGAAAAGUACAAAGAACGCUUAAAUAAAUGCAUCACCAUGAGCAAGAAGUUGCUCAUAGAAAAGAGCACCCAGGAGAAGCAGGCGUGCCGGGAAAAGAGUAUGCAGGACAGACUACGGUUAGGCCAUUUUACCACUGUGCGACAUGGAGCCUCUUUCACAGAGCAGUGGACCGAUGGCUUUGCCUUCCAAAACCUAGUCAAACAGCAAGAGUGGAUAAACCAACAGAGGGAGGAUAUCGAGAAGCAGAGGAAACUCCUAGCCAAAAGGAAACCCCCAUCGUCCAGCAACUCCCAAGCACCAACCACAAACUCUGAGCCAAAGCAACGCAAAACCAAGGCAGUGAACGGGGCGGAGAAUGAUCCCUUUCUGAAGCCCAGCCUACCUCAGCUGUUGACUCUAGCUGAGUAUCACGAGCAGGAAGAGAUCUACAAACUACGACUCGGGCAUCUCAAAAAGGAAGAAGCAGAAAUCCAGGUGGAGCUGGAGCGUCUGGAGAGAGUGCGGAACCUUCACAUUCGGGAACUUAAGAGAAUAAAUAACGAGGACAGUUCACAAUUCAAAGACCAUCCGACUUUGAACGAGAGAUAUCUGCUGUUACAUCUUCUGGGAAGAGGAGGCUUUAGUGAAGUUUACAAGGCGUUUGACUUGAUUGAGCAACGCUAUGCUGCUGUGAAAAUUCAUCAGCUGAACAAGAACUGGCGAGAGGAGAAAAAGGAGAAUUAUCACAAACACGCCUGUCGGGAGUACAGAAUACACAAGCAGCUGGACCACCCCAGAAUCGUCAGGCUGUAUGACUACUUCUCACUGGACACAGACACGUUUUGCACAGUUUUGGAAUACUGUGAAGGCAAUGACCUGGACUUCUACUUGAAGCAGCACAAGCUGAUGUCGGAGAAGGAGGCCCGCUCCAUCGUCAUGCAGAUUGUGAAUGCGCUCCGAUACCUGAACGAAAUCAAGCCCCCCAUCAUUCACUAUGACCUCAAGCCGGGUAACAUCCUGCUUGUUGAUGGCACAGCGUGUGGGGAAAUCAAAAUCACAGACUUCGGUUUGUCCAAAAUCAUGGAUGACGACAGCUACGGUGCAGAUGGCAUGGACCUGACAUCACAAGGAGCAGGGACCUACUGGUACUUGCCUCCGGAGUGUUUUGUUGUUGGCAAAGAACCUCCAAAGAUUUCCAACAAGGUGGACGUGUGGUCUGUGGGUGUAAUCUUUUUCCAGUGUUUGUAUGGAAGAAAACCGUUCGGCCACAAUCAGUCUCAGCAGGAUAUCCUGCAGGAGAACACAAUACUUAAUGCAACCGAAGUUCAGUUUCCUGUCAAGCCUGUUGCCAGUAAUGAAGCAAAGGCCUUUAUAAGGCGCUGCCUGGCAUACAGGAAGGAGGACCGUUUUGAUGUUCACCAGCUGGGAAGGGAUUCCUACCUGCUUCCUCACAUGAGGAGGUCCAACUCUUCAGGGAACUUGCAGAUGGGUGCCGGUGGCUCAGGACCUGCCGCCUCCAGCAUCAUUUCGUACUGAGGGCUGGUCCUGGACUGACUGAAUUACUGCCUUCCCCCCAUGUGUGAGGUAGCGGAGCUACAUGCCAACUAGUGGUGUACUGGAGGACAAGAGGGGGUCGGUCCGUUGGCCAUAGACACUGCAAACUGAAUGAUGUGGAGUUUGGCCUUCGCCUGGACUGUGCUUUCAAAUGGGUGUUUUCUAAAGACUAAUGAAAGGAUGUUUAAAGAACAUAAGUGAAUGACCUUGUAAAAGGUUGAAUAGAGCACUGCUACAGACAAAGUAACUUGAAGAAAUGUGACUGGACACUUGAGUUUGUUUUGCUGGUGGAAGCCUUAUAGGACCUUAGGGAUAACUGGCAGCCUGCCGUUUUAGAAUCGCUAACAUCCUCUUGCAAGGGUGCAAAUAAUAAAUGCUUUAGCUGCGAAGAGUUUCCCUUUUCACCAUCAAUUUGGCUGUUUUGUUUUUUGUUUUCAGCAAAAGUUUUAAGUUUUAAUUUGAGUUGUACAAUUAGCUAUGAGAAUGUAAUUUUAGCAUACAAGUGGUAUUGUCAUUUAGGCCCAGGCAGCAUACUAAUGUUGAAUGCACAAAAUAACCAAAUGUAGACAAAUGGCAAUGUACAGAAUAAUAUGCAGGAUGAUUUUAAAUAAUUCCUUCAAGAGUAAAUGUAUAUUUGCUGUACAGAAGAUUCAGAUUUGGAAUUGCAGCUGUACCAUGGUUUAACUAUUUCCCUUGUACAUUUGUCAUUCAUUUUGCUGCUUUUGAUGUUACUUUUUAAAGGGCUGUAUGAUCCACUUUGAGUACAAUUGUACAGUUCUAUAAAAAGAAUAAAUGAUGACUAUGAUAAUAAAUACCAGGAAAUCACA